rnacentral:rRNA from 1 species
GAUGAACGCUGGCGGCGUGCCUAAUACAUGCAAGUCGAGCGAACAGACGAGGAGCUUGCUCCUCUGACGUUAGCGGCGGACGGGUGAGUAACACGUGGAUAACCUACCUAUAAGACUGGGAUAACUUCGGGAAACCGGAGCUAAUACCGGAUAAUAUAUUGAACCGCAUGGUUCAAUAGUGAAAGACGGUUUUGCUGUCACUUAUAGAUGGAUCCGCGCCGCAUUAGCUAGUUGGUAAGGUAACAGCUUACCAAGGCAACGAUGCGUAGCCGACCUGAGAGGGUGAUCGGCCACACUGGAACUGAGACACGGUCCAGACUCCUACGGGAGGCAGCAGUAGUGAAUCUUCCGCAAUGGGCGAAAGCCUGACGGAGCAACGCCGCGUGAGUGAUGAAGGUCUUCGGAUCGUAAAACUCUGUUAUUAGGGAAGAACAAAUGUGUAAGUAACUAUGCACGUCUUGACGGUACCUAAUCAGAAAGCCACGGCUGACUACGUG